UACGUAGGGCGCAAGCGUUGUCCGGAAUUAUUGGGCGUAAAGAGCUCGUAGGCGGCUUGUCACGUCGGAUGUGAAAGCCCGGGGCUUAACCCCGGGUCUGCAUUCGAUACGGGCUAGCUAGAGUGUGGUAGGGGAGAUCGGAAUUCCCGGUGUAGCGGUGAAAUGCGCAGAUAUCGGGAAGAACACCCGUGGCGAAGGCGGCUCUCUGGGACGGUACUGACGCUGAGACGCGAAAGCGUGGGGAGCGAACAGG
rnacentral:rRNA from 1 species